rnacentral:rRNA from 1 species
UCCCUACGGGCGGCUGCAGUGGGGAAUAUUGGACAAUGGGCGCAAGCCUGAUCCAGCAAUGCCGCGUGAGUGAAGAAGGUCUUCGGAUUGUAAAGCUCUUUCGACGGGGACGAUGAUGACGGUACCCGUAGAAGAAGCCCCGGCUAACUUCGUGCCAGCAGCCGCGGUAAUACGAAGGGGGCUAGCGUUGCUCGGAAUGACUGGGCGUAAAGGGCGCGUAGGCGGUUUGUACAGUCAGAUGUGAAAUUCCCGGGCUCAACCUGGGGGCUGCAUUUGAUACGUGCAGACUAGAGUGAGGAAGAGGGUUGUGGAAUUCCCAGUGUAGAGGUGAAAUUCGUAGAUAUUGGGAAGAACACCGGUGGCGAAGGCGGCAACCUGGUCCUUGACUGACGCUGAGGCGCGAAAGCGUGGGGAGCAAACAGGAUUAGAUACCCUAGUAGUCG